GAUACCCUACUAUACUAAAAGGUAAUUAAAAUAACCAGAUUAUUAAUAGAUAUAUUCUUUAAAUUUAAAGAAUUUGGCGGUAAUUUAGUCUUGUCAGAGGAACCUGUUUUUUAAUCGAUAAUCCACGUAAUAUCUUGCUUAUUUUAUUAGUUUGUAUACCAUCAUUAUCAGAUAAUUUUAAAAGAAUUAAUUAUUGUUGUUUAUUAUAUUAAUAAAAUUAGAUCAAGGUGCAGCUUAUAAAUAAGUUAAAAUGGGUUACAAUAAAUUUUAUUUAUAACGGAUAAAUUUGGUAAGGAGAAUUUAAGAAGGAGGAUUUGAUUGUAAUUUGGGUUUAAUAUGCUUAAAAGAUAUAAGCUCUAGAUUAUGUACAU
rnacentral:rRNA from 1 species